AACGGCGAGUGAAGCGGCAAAAGCUCAAAUUUGAAAUCUGGCCCCUUCGGGGCCCGAGUUGUAAUUUGUAGAGGAUGCUUCGGGUGCGACCGCGGUCUAAGUCCCCUGGAACGGGGCGUCGCAGAGGGUGAGAAUCCCGUCUUCGGCCGGCCGGCCGCGCCCGUGUGAAGCUCCUUCGACGAGUCGAGUUGUUUGGGAAUGCAGCUCUAAAUGGGUGGUAAAUUUCAUCUAAAGCUAAAUACUGGUCGGAGACCGAUAGCGCACAAGUAGAGUGAUCGAAAGAUGAAAAGCACUUUGAAAAGAGAGUUAAACAGCAUGUGAAAUUGUUGAAAGGGAAGCGCUUGCGACCAGAGUCGGCCGCGGGGGUUCAGCGGGCAUUCGUUGCCCGUGCACUCCCCCGGGGCCGGGCCAGCGUCGGUUUCGACGGCCGGUCAAAGGCCCCCGGAAUGUGUCGCCUCUCGGGGCGUCUUAUAGCCGGGGGUGCAAUGCGGCCAGUCGGGACCGAGGAACGCGCUUCGGCACGGACGCUGGCUUAAUGGUCGUAAGCGACCCGUCUUGAAACACGGACCAAGGAGUCUAACAUCCACGCGAGUGUUCGGGUGUCAAACCCGUCCGCGCAGUGAAAGCGAACGGAGGUGGGAACCCUCAAGGGUGCACCAUCGACCGAUCCUGAAGUCUUCGGAUGGAUUUGAGUAAGAGCGUGGCUGUUGGGACCCGAAAGAUGGUGAACUAUGCCUGAAUAGGGUGAAGCCAGAGGAAACUCUGGUGGAGGCUCGCAGCGGUUCUGACGUGCAAAUCGAUCGUCAAAUUU
rnacentral:rRNA from 1 species